CGCAACCUAAUUAAUUAAUUAAUUAAUUUUUAAAAACCCAACAAAAACCUAAUUCCAACCGUGAUCCUUCUCGGCUUAAAAAACCUCCAACCAUUAAUUAAAAAACCUCCAACCAUUAAUUAAAAAAUAAAAAACAAUAACAACAACAAAACAAAACCGUCCAGCAGCUUCCGUCUGCUCACCUGGGCCUGCAGGGUCCUCGGCGUGGCCUGAUCCUUCAUGUCUUGGGGUCCUGCCUCCAGAAGGCAUUUCUCUAAAACAGCUGCCCCCGGCCCUUUGGGUCACAUCUCCGCUUUGUCUCCUGCUGGUCUUCAGCACAGCCUGAAACAUUCUUCUUCGUGGGCUUGGUUACUUACGGUGCAUUUCACCGUCCUCCCAGGGAGGUACAACCUUGCCUCCAGACCCUAGUACAGGGCCUGGCACGCAGAGGGUGCUGAAGUUUGUUGACUGACUGAAUGGACUGAGACCACGGAACUCUGAAAGACGAAACAAUUAGACUUGCAUCAUCUGGUGAGUAAGAUGUGGGGAUUGAACUUAAGCCGGCCUGAUUCAAAACCUACACAGUGCUCCUGGAAGGGAGGAAUGAGAGGGGUCCCACAAAUGUCCUAAAGAUAGGAGGGCAAUGAGGGGCUUUGCUGGAAUGUGGCAAGGAAGAACCCUGGGACCACAGCCCCGGGGAAUGAUCAGACUGCUUAAAUGUUAGGGAAGGGUUCCUUUGUGCAGAGGGGUUCUUGAGGCCCAGAGAUGGCAAGGGACUUGGCCAAGGUUGCAUGGCUGGUUAACGGCAGAGCCAGAACUCAAACCCAGGGCUCCCAAUGCCUCCUUAGGGGAACUGGCUGGACGAGGCAGCAGCAGCCUGCGUAAGGGAAGUCUCAUUUCAGGAGGCAGCAUAACACGGUGGUGGUUUUCUGGCAUUCGAUCUUCCUGCACCAGCUGUGUGCAUUGGGGAAAUUCUUCAUCUCCUCUAGGCCUCCUUUCCUCAUUUUUAGACAAGGAAGCAAAGGAGCUGACAUUCAUGAAGCCCUUUGUUGGAUGCUGGGCACACGCUUCUAGGCUCUAAAGAAAGAAAUGGCUCCAAGGGUUGUAGGUUCUAAAGAUGACGGAAGUUUCAGAAGCCUGGAGGGGACCAUUCUGCCCUGAAGCAUUUCUCUCCAAAGACACUUUACUGAAAGUGACUGUCACUGAGCCCCUCUGACGUGCCCCUACUGUGAUGAAGGGCACUGAGAGAUGGGACUGGAAAACGCAAUGAACCAAUGUUCAUGCUUGAUGAGUCAGAGAGGAUCUUCAGCCCUGCCCCUCGUCUCCACCUUCUGAACCCAGGAAAAGUCCACUGAAACGUCAGGUCAAUUCACAUUGCAGUGAAAGACAAGAAGAAAAGUCGACCCCUUUGGAGGCCUGUUGCCGUGAUGAUAAAAUAAUGCCAGUAACGAUUUUCAGAGCCUCGGCUACACAGCAUAGGCCACUCGUUGCCAUGUGAACCUGACCCACCAGAUAAGGCAGUCAAGGGGGACCUGUAACUGAGCUGUGUGUGAAUAUGCUGCCGUGGGGUGUGCUGUUACUCAGGGACAGGCCUAACUACUGCCACAUCCACUGUGCCACAGGUCCCGUGGGGGCGGCACCAAUGACCUAGAUAGACGCCUGCACACAGUGGACUGUGGUAUGGGAGAGGACGCUAAACUUAAGAACGCAAGUCUUUUCUAAUGACUGCCCUUUGCACUGGAGGGAGAUUCUGUCUCGAUCGUCCAUGGCUAUUCACUGUACCAACAUCCUUGAGAAGAGAGUCCAGGACAAAGGCAGUCAGUUGCCUCACUUGCAAAAUGCGCAGAAACUCAAGAGAUCUCUGGAGAAUUGUCUUACAGUAAUAUCCACCCCUCAUUUCUACACUGUCUUGGCUUUGGGCGAAUUUUCCCAUGAGUUCACCACUCUGUUGGCAAAUCUGAUCGACAGAGGCUAGGACCAAAUCUGUUCAACUUGUGUCAGACAGCAUUUAAUUAAAGCUACUACCAACAGAACUACAAGCAGCAGGAUGAAGCCACCUUGCAGUACGGACCUCAGCCACAUGCCUCCCAGGUGAACACAUCCAUAAAGCAUCACAUCUACCUUAGAAAGCCGCGUGGCUCGCUC